GAGGGUAUAGCUCGGAGGUAGAGUGCGUGCUUAGCAUGCAUGAGGUCCUGGGUUCAAUCCCCAGUACCUCCC
rnacentral:tRNA from 1 species